rnacentral:rRNA from 1 species
AUGCAGUCGAGCGCGGGAAGCGAGUGGAUCCCUUCGGGGUGAAGCUCGUGGAACGAGCGGCGGACGGGUGAGUAACACGUGGGCAACCUGCCUGUAAGAUCGGAAUAACCCCGGGAAACCGGGGCUAAUGCCGGGUAAUACUUUUCUUCGCAUGAAGAUGAGUUGAAAGAUGGCUUCUCGCUAUCACUUACAGAUGGGCCCGCGGCGCAUUAGCUAGUUGGUGAGGUAACGGCUCACCAAGGCAACGAUGCGUAGCCGACCUGAGAGGGUGAUCGGCCACACUGGGACUGAGACACGGCCCAGACUCCUACGGGAGGCAGCAGUAGGGAAUCUUCCGCAAUGGACGAAAGUCUGACGGAGCAACGCCGCGUGAACGAUGAAGGUCUUCGGAUCGUAAAGUUCUGUUGUCAGGGAAGAACAAGUACCGUGCGAAUAGAGCGGUACCUUGACGGUACCUGACGAGGAAGCCCCGGCUAACUACGUGCCAGCAGCCGCGGUAAUACGUAGGGGGCAAGCGUUGUCCGGAAUUAUUGGGCGUAAAGCGCGCGCAGGCGGUUCCUUAAGUCUGAUGUGAAAGCCCACGGCUCAACCGUGGAGGGUCAUUGGAAACUGGGGAACUUGAGGACAGAAGAGGAGAGUGGAAUUCCACGUGUAGCGGUGAAAUGCGUAGAUAUGUGGAGGAACACCAGUGGCGAAGGCGACUCUCUGGUCUGUUUCUGACGCUGAGGUGCGAAAGCGUGGGUAGCAAACAGGAUUAGAUACCCUGGUAGUCCACGCCGUAAACGAUGAGUGCUAGGUGUUAGGGGGCUUCCACCCCUUAGUGCUGAAGUUAACGCAUUAAGCACUCCGCCUG